GCGAGGAGGGAGUUUGAGGAGGCGAGGUUCGAGAAAGACCCGGAGGUGAUUACGAGGCUGUUGAUUGGGGGUCGAGAUGCGGUUCAGGCCGCGCUCGAUAAGCUUGCGGAGACUCACAGGAAGAAGAUGGCUGAGGAUGAGGAGAGGAUUAGGGGAGGGAGAUGAUGAAAGAAGAAAGAACUGGGCUUCCGACUGUUGAGGAGAUUAAUCCAGAAGUAAUUGCUAGCCUUACACUGUGUCUUCUAGUGCUCUUGCCAGUUGUCUGGUGUAAACCCUGUUCUUUCAUGAGAAGUCUCAUUCUCUCAACAUCUUCCCAUCUUCCGGCAUCAG